rnacentral:rRNA from 1 species
GAUCCUGGCUCAGGACGAACGCUGGCGGCGUGCUUAACACAUGCAAGUCGAACGAGAAUCUGCUGAAGGAGGAUUCGUCCAACGGAAGUAGAGGAAAGUGGCGGACGGGUGAGUAACGCGUGAGGAACCUGCCUUGAAGAGGGGGACAACAGUUGGAAACGACUGCUAAUACCGCAUGAAGCAUAGGGGUCGCAUGAUUCUUAUGCCAAAGAUUUAUCGCUUCAAGAUGGCCUCGCGU